rnacentral:rRNA from 1 species
UAGUCCACGCCCUAAACGAUGCUUACUCGAUGUUUGGACUAGAUCUGAGCAUCCAAGGGAAACCACUAAGUAAGCCACCUGGGGAGUACGUUCGCAAGAAUGAAACUCAAAUGAAUUGACGGGGGCCCGCACAAGCGGUGGAGCAUGUGGUUUAAUUCGAUGCAACGCGAAGAACCUUACCUACUCUUGACAUCUACAGAAGCCAGCGGAGACGCAGGUGUGCCUUCGGGAACUGUAAGACAGGUGCUGCAUGGCUGUCGUCAGCUCGUGUUGUGAAAUGUUGGGUUAAGUCCCGCAACGAGCGCAACCCUUAUCCUUGUUUGCCAGCACGUAAUGGUGGGAACUCCAGGGAGACUGCCGGUGAUAAACCGGAGGAAGGUGGGGACGACGUCAAGUCAUCAUGGCCCUUACGAGUAGGGCUACACACGUGCUACAAUGGCAUAUACAGAGGGCAGCAAGACCGCGAGGUGGAGCGAAUCCCAGAAAGUAUGUCGUAGUCCGG